rnacentral:rRNA from 1 species
AUUGGGCGUAAAGCGAGCGCAGGCGGUUUUUUAAGUCUGAUGUGAAAGCCUUCGGCUCAACCGAAGAAGUGCAUCGGAAACUGGGAAACUUGAGUGCAGAAGAGGACAGUGGAACUCCAUGUGUAGCGGUGAAAUGCGUAGAUAUAUGGAAGAACACCAGUGGCGAAGGCGGCUGUCUGGUCUGUAACUGACGCUGAGGCUCGAAAGUAUGGGUAGCAAACAGGAUUAGAUACCCUGGUAGUCCAUACCGUAAACGAUGAAUGCUAAGUGUUGGAGGGUUUCCGCCCUUCAGUGCUGCAGCUAACGCAUUAAGCAUUCCGCCUGGGGAGUACGGCCGCAAGGCUGAAACUCAAAGGAAUUGACGGGGGCCCGCACAAGCGGUGGAGCAUGUGGUUUAAUUCGAAGCUACGCGAAGAACCUUACCAGGUCUUGACAUACUAUGCAAAUCUAAGAGAUUAGACGUUCCCUUCGGGGACAUGGAUACAGGUGGUGCAUGGUUGUCGUCAGCUCGUGUCGUGAGAUGUUGGGUUAAGUCCCGCAACGAGCGCAACCCUUAUUAUCAGUUGCCAGCAUUAAGUUGGGCACUCUGGUGAGACUGCCGGUGACAAACCGGAGGAAGGUGGGGAUGACGUCAAAUCAUCAUGCCCCUUAUGACCUGGGCUACACACGUGCUACAAUGGAUGGUACAACGAGUUGCGAACUCGCGAGAGUAAGCUAAUCUCUUAAAGCCAUUCUCAGUUCGGAUUGUAGGCUGCAACUCGCCUACAUGAAGUCGGAAUCGCUAGUAAUCGCGGAUCAGCAUGCCGCGGUGAAUACGUUCCCGGGCCU